UGUUUGAGUAUAAAAAGAAAGCUCGCUCAGAGAUCUGCUGCUCAUCAGCAGCUGAUUGCUGAGAGUGUUGAAGUUGAAGAGAGAGCGUAACUGAGCUCAGCGUCGUGACAAGUUUGUGAAUGGGUCUUGCCGGUCAGCUAAAGCUGCUGCGUUCCGGCUGCUUGGAGUUGGCAGUAAGUGGUCGGCUUUUCACCAACUUCCGCACAGGACUUUCCUCUCACGUUUGCUGCCUUUGGUCGAAUGUGGAACAUAACUGAAUGAUCUGGCAACUUUAACGGGAGUUUUCUUUCGCCUUCAGUUGGCUGUGGAAUGUAUCUUAGUAAUUUGUAACUGCCAUUCAAAUGAUAUGUACGCUUAUUUUGAUAUUCAAACGAUUAAAGUGACUAUAGAAGCGUA